CAGUCGCCGCGGGAAUACGAAGGGGGCUAGCGUUGCUCGGAAUUACUGGGCGUAAAGGGCGCGUAGGCGGACAGUUCAGUCGGGGGUGAAAGCCCGGGGCUCAACCUCGGAAUUGCCUUCGAUACUGGCUGUCUUGAGUAUGAGAGAGGUGUGUGGAACUCCGAGUGUAGAGGUGAAAUUCGUAGAUAUUCGGAAGAACACCAGUGGCGAAGGCGACACACUGGCUCAUUACUGACGCUGAGGCGCGAAAGCGUGGGGAGCAAACAGGAUUAGAUACCCCGGUAGUCCCUGUCUCUUAUAC
rnacentral:rRNA from 1 species